rnacentral:rRNA from 1 species
UACGUAGGUGGCAAGCGUUGUCCGGAUUUACUGGGCGUAAAGAGCGCGCAGGCGGUCGUUCAAGUCGAGUGUGAAAGCCCCCGGCUCAACUGGGGAGGGUCACUCGAUACUGAUCGACUCGAAGGCAGAAGAGGGAAGCGGAAUUCCCGGUGUAGUGGUGAAAUGCGUAGAUAUCGGGAGGAACACCAGUGGCGAAGGCGAGUCCCUGGACAACUCCUGACACUGAGGCACGAAAGCUAGGGGAGCAAACAGG